UACGUAGGGGGCAAGCGUUGUCCGGAAUCAUUGGGCGUAAAGAGCGUGUAGGCGGCCCGGUAAGUCCGCUGUGAAAGUCCAGGGCUCAACCCUGGGAUGCCGGUGGAUACUGUCGGGCUCGAGUCCGGAAGAGGAGUGUGGAAUUCCUGGUGUAGCGGUGAAAUGCGCAGAUAUCAGGAGGAACACCAAUGGCGAAGGCAGCACUCUGGGACGUGACUGACGCUGAGACGCGAAA
rnacentral:rRNA from 1 species